UAAUAAUCAAUGCUUAGAACAAGUGUGUGCGAGUGCCACUGUUAAGGGGAAAAAAAGUUCAUAUGUGAAUAAACCCUCAACUUUUAUUGAAAUUUCUGAGAGUAUAUUGAGGAUGGAUUGCAUUCCUCAAGCUAACUCAAUAUUGGCGAAAAUCGAUAUGGGACUGAUAUGCGAGUAUGGGCAGCAAACCAUCGAAGUAAUCGAGACACACAUUCCCACUGUUACCCGCAUAGCGUUUUGGCUACCUGGGCAGCCAUGGCCACCAGAUGGCUACCAAAAUUGAUUCAGUGACGGUUGUCAAAUCCAAUUUGACAAAACAAAUUCGCCUGUAUCUAAGCUAACCGAGCGUUAUCAUCUUCUCACCCUCGCUGAAAAUGUCAAAGAUUUCAAUGUGGAAAAAUCCUGGUGGAUACGGUUGUAUCAUUUGAGUUGUUUAUCUGGCAGCGGUGAGGCAGUCGGUCACCAGAAUGUAUGCCAGCCGUAUUUUUCCAGCUGGUAGAGCAGAGCCGUAGCAACCUAGGGGGCAAGGGGGGGCUUUGCCCCACCACGCGGUUUCCGCCUCACCACGUAUUUUUCUCGUAUAUGAAAUUGAUAGUAGAAAGGAAAAAAAUUAAAGAAUUAUAAAAUAAAAAGCAAUAAAGAGAUCUAUUUGUAUAGUUUAUACUGCGUUCACAGUUCUUUUAUUAUUUUGAACAAUGAUAUUCAACCACUUUUUUAAUAUAAUUGCACUUUGCGAUUUUUUUGUUCGUUGAAUCUUAAAAGGACUGUGUCCACGUCUAAAAAAUCCAGUCGCUUGUGCUCGAAUGCCAGAAACGAUAAAUUGUUUAAUCUAUCAGUGGACAUGCUAAUACGUUGAGGCCGCAUGAUCCGUGUCAAUGCCGAAAAUGAUGAUUCGCAUACUGCCGUUCCGGACGGAAAAGUUUCAAUGGUUGCAAAAAGGUUGUAUACGUUUUCCAUUCCUUGGCACACCUUAUACAGCUCUGUCAGUAUUACAGUCUUAAUUUUU